AAUGAUCAUCAUACUAAUAGAUCUAUUAUCAUCCAAUUUAAUGGGAGGCUAUGAUUUACUUAUCACCAUAACUAUCUCAUUUUAGAGAUCUAAUAAUUUAAAAGAUUUAAGAAUUAAUUUAGAAAAGAGAAGAGAUCAACCAGUAAACCAUCAUCCUCUCACUGACUUCACCAAGUCAUUAAAUUAGAUUAAGGUCAUGCAGGUUGAAAUGGCACCUAGAUUAGUCACACUGAUCAACCUUAAUGGCAUGGGUCAACUCGAAUCACUUAACGGUCUAAUCAAGACAUAAUCCAUCAAAUUAAUCAGGUAAG
rnacentral:lncRNA from 1 species